rnacentral:rRNA from 1 species
GGUUUCGGCCGGGGAUUAGUGGCGAACGGGUGAGUAACACGUGGGCAAUCUGCCCUGCACUCUGGGACAAGCCCUGGAAACGGGGUCUAAUACCGGAUACGACGCGUUCCCGCAUGGGAUACGCGUGGAAAGCUCCGGCGGUGCAGGAUGAGCCCGCGGCCUAUCAGCUUGUUGGUGGGGUGAUGGCCUACCAAGGCGACGACGGGUAGCCGGCCUGAGAGGGCGACCGGCCACACUGGGACUGAGACACGGCCCAGACUCCUACGGGAGGCAGCAGUGGGGAAUAUUGCACAAUGGGCGAAAGCCUGAUGCAGCGACGCCGCGUGAGGGAUGACGGCCUUCGGGUUGUAAACCUCUUUCAGCAGGGAAGAAGCGAAAGUGACGGUACCUGCAGAAGAAGCGCCGGCUAACUACGUGCCAGCAGCCGCGGUAAUACGUAGGGCGCAAGCGUUGUCCGGAAUUAUUGGGCGUAAAGAGCUCGUAGGCGGCUUGUCGCGUCGGAUGUGAAAGCCCGGGGCUUAACCCCGGGUCUGCAUUCGAUACGGGCAGGCUAGAGUUCGGUAGGGGAGAUCGGAAUUCCUGGUGUAGCGGUGAAAUGCGCAGAUAUCAGGAGGAACACCGGUGGCGAAGGCGGAUCUCUGGGCCGAUACUGACGCUGAGGAGCGAAAGCGUGGGGAGCGAACAGGAUUAGAUACCCUGGUAGUCCACGCUCGUAAACGUUGGGAACUAGGUGUGGGCGACAUUCCACGUUGUCCGUGCCGCAGCUAACGCAUUAAGUUCCCCGCCUGGGGAGUACGGCCGCAAGGCUAAAACUCAAAGGAAUUGACGGGGGCCCGCACAAGCGGCGGAGCAUGUGGCUUAAUUCGACGCAACGCGAAGAACCUUACCAAGGCUUGACAUACACCGGAAAACCCGGAGACAGGGUCCCCCUUGUGGUCGGUGUACAGGUGGUGCAUGGCGUCGUCAGCUCGUGUCGUGAGAUGUUGGGUUAAGUCCCGCAACGAGCGCAACCCUUGUUCUGUGUUGCCAGCAUGCCUUUCGGGGUGAUGGGGACUCACAGGAGACUGCCGGGGUCAACUCGGAGGAAGGUGGGGACGACGUCAAGUCAUCAUGCCCCUUAUGUCUUGGGCUGCACACGUGCUACAAUGGCCGGUAC